rfam:Schistosoma curassoni strain Dakar, Senegal genome assembly, scaffold: SCTD_scaffold0005511
AUCCAGCUGACGAGUUCCCAUAUAGAACGAAACGUGCGUUCUGGAU